UACAGAGGCCCCAAGCGUUACUGAGAAUCACUGAGUUUAAAGGGUGCGUAGGUGGUCCGUUAAGUUCGUUGUGAAAUCCCUGGGCUCAACCCAGGAAAUGCUUCGAAUACUGGCGGACUUGAGGCUAGUAGAGGUCACUGGAACUGACGGUGGAGCGGUGAAAUGCGUAGAUAUCGUCAGGAACGCCGAUGGUGAAGACAGGUGACUGGGCUAGUUCUGACACUGAGGCACGAAAGCGUGGGGAGCGAACGGG
rnacentral:rRNA from 1 species